rnacentral:tRNA from 1 species
GGAGGGUAUAGCUCAGUGGCAGAGCGUGUGCUUUAGCCUGCACAAGGCCCUGGGUUCAAUCCCCAGUGCCUCCA